rnacentral:tRNA from 1 species
GGCCUCGUUGCUCAGUUGGUAGAGCAUGCGCGUACAAAGCGUAGGCGGCGUCCAUGCGUGGUUUCGAAUCCCACCGAGGCUU